rnacentral:tRNA from 1 species
GGAGGAGUACCCAAGCGGUGAAGGGGCUGCACUCGAAAUGCAGAAGGCCGGUACCCCCGGCGCGAGAGUUCGAUCCUCUCCUCCUCCGCCA